GAUGAAGAACGUAGCGAAAUGCGAUAAUUAAUGUGAAUUGCAGAAUUCCGUGAAUCAUCGAGUCUUUGAACGCACAUUGCGCCCGUCAGUAUUCUGGCGGGCAUGCCUGUUCGAGCGUCAUUACGCCCCUCAAGUCCCCUGUGGACUUGGUGUUGGGGAUCGGCGAGGCUGGUUUUCCAGCACAGCCGUCCCUUAAAUUAAUUGGCGGUCUCGCCGUGGCCCUCCUCUGCGCAGUAGUAAAACACUCGCAACAGGAGCCCGGCGCGGUCCACUGCCGUAAAACCCCCCAACUUUUUAUAGUUGACCUCGAAUCAGGUAGGACUACCCGCUGAACUUAAGCAUAUCAAUAAGCGGAGGA
rnacentral:misc_RNA from 1 species